AGCUAUGAUUGUCCAAACGCAAUUCUUGUUGAUAUUCAAUAUUCAAGGGUUGCGACUGGGCAUCGCGGCUC
rnacentral:pre_miRNA from 15 species